UGCCCUGCUCCGCAGAUCCCCCCCUUUGCUACACUGGGUGACCAUGCAUUGAAUGAAAGCUACUCUGUUAGGACUACUCUGCGAUUCCGCUGUAUCCCAGGCUAUAUAUAUAUCACUGGAUCAAAGCCUACUAUUCAAUGUCUUGAUGAUUCAACAUGGUCAGGAACUCCUACCUUUUGUGAAAGAAAGCAGUGCAAGAUUCCAGCUCUUGAAAAUGGCAAAGUAGAAUCCUCAGGUGACUUCCGGCUUGGUGAUGAAGCAAAAUUCAUCUGUGAUGGGGGGUACAGGUUAAUAGGCCCAGAUACUGCUCUUUGUGUUUUGUAUGAUGACAACACAGUUAACUGGGAUAAAGAAGGUCAAUACUGCGAACGUAAGAUCAUAUUUUCCCU